AGAUUGACCGGCCGCGUCGAGGUGUUUCCGGGUUCAGACUGACAGGCCGCGCCGAGGUGUUUCCAGGUUUGGAUUGACCUGCCGAGCCGCAGUGUUUUCCGCGGAGGCGUGGACUUUCUUCUUUGCACGUCGUGGUGUUUGGAGACGAUCCUCCCUGGCCGGCGGGAUUCAUGACCCUUCGCGCAGUUGCCCCGUCCAGAUCCACGUGCAGGACUGGUCUCGCGUGACACACGCGGCCGGCACCUUUCAGACGGAAGUGGAGGGGCUGACGUGCCGUGGGCAGAGCUCUAGCCAGGCUGCCCAGAGCGCGUGUCAUGUCCGUGUCCAUGAAGAUGGUGUCUCUGUGUAUAGGUCACUGCAGGGGGGAGAGGAAAGAGCUCCGUGGACCUUGCAGGACGCAGCCUGUGGGGAAGGGGCUCCCGUUCUCGCCUGCAUCCCGCAGCCCUGGGGUGUGGUUUCCUGUCUUAAACCACCUCCAUCAGCCUGGAUUAUGUUCAAAUUGUGGAGCGCAGCGCCGGAGGGGGCCUGCAUCCCCACCGUCCCUUCAUGUCCAGGUGCGGUGUCUCCGUCCCAGAGAAACUGCAUGGAGUCCCCCCACGGUUCCCACUGGAGCCAGACCUCAGACUCGGAGCUCCUCAGUCUCUGCUGGGUCAGAGGCAGUGCGUUCAUUUUAGGAGCAAAGUUGAAUUCAAAUUUGGAUGAGCACACGAGGCCCCUGGUGGAGCUAUUCCUUCUGCCUUUGAAAGUUCUGUUGAGAAGUUGCACAUAAUGACGUUAGCAGUCUUCGCUAGGCAUAGGAUGUUUUAAUGAAUAGUCUUCCGUUUCCAGUCAUCUCUUACUUUAAAACAUGUCUCUAUUAUAGAACUAAAAAAUGCCCAUCAUAGAGGGAAAUAUUGGAAUACAAUGAAAUAAAAAAGAAAAUUCAAAUAAAUAAUCCAUAACUUGGUUAUCCAGAGGCAACUCCUGUUAAUUUUUUUGGAUAUAUUUCAUUCCUAAAGUUCUAUCUUUUUAAGAUUGUCAUGUAGGGAACACAGGAAUCACAUCCCGUGCCCCCUUCCUUUCUUAAAAUAGCAUAGUUGAUGCCUUAUUAAAAUCUUUUUUUAUUAUAGUAAGUAAUAAAUUUCAGCCAGAUUUGCAUGUGUGGAUUGCAUAUUCUCUUAUUUUCUCUCUUUUCAUGUUAAAUUAUUGAUGCCGUGAAUACAAACAACUCCCUCCCACGCUUGCUUUGCUUUCCAAUUAACGCAAAAUGCGAAGCCAGUCUCGUGUGCCGUGUGCCGCAGGUCGUUGGGGCUAACUUUUGAAGAGCAAGAGAGAGGAGCCCUUUGGGAGGUGAGGCGGCUCCAGGGAGGGGCUUGGUAAGGAGCUGCCGGGUCUGAGUCACAGUUUCUGCAGUUUCGUGGGGAUCCAGGUGUGCUGGCUGAGAAGCCUCUAGGAAAAGAUGGGUGAAUUAUUUCAGGCAGGGCCCAGCUUGCUGUGUGACAGGGGCAGCAGCUGGGAAUGAGAGAGGCCUGGCUAAAGUCAUUCCAAGACCCCUCCCGGGUCCUUCCUUCACUCGGGGCCACCCACCAGGAGCCAGCCCGCCACAUGUUCUUGGGGGCAUCCCAGCACGGGUCUGGGUGUGCCGUGCAGGAGCUGUGAGUCUAAUUUCAGGGUCAGCUGCUGGACUCAGCUAGGUUUUCCCAGCGUAUGGGGUGAGAACGCUCCCACCUGGGCUGGGGGCUCAGACACUCGAGCUGGCUUGACAGAGGCAGCCCCAACCCAUAUUCUCCUUGGCUUUUUUUUUUUUUUUUUGUUACCUCCCAUCCAUCAUCCAAAAAAACACAUGCCCAGCAGAGAAUCGCUGCUUCUGCUGCCUGCUCCUGGCUGAUUUCCAGGCGACCCAUGCCUGUGUGGCUAUGCUUCUUGUUAAGAUAUUGAAAAACUCCAGUGCCAGUUGGCAAAUAGCGCAGUAGUAGCUGGAAUGAGUAGUGGCGUUAAUUAGUAACGAAAAUCCUAACGUAACUGCACUCGUUUGAGCCAGUUGUCCUAAGUGCCACAAUUACCCUUGGUAAAUGGGUCUCUAAUGGUGUGGUUUUAGUCAAUAGUAGAAUUAUUAAAUACGUAGAAUUCUUUAGUAGCAUUAUAAGGUCCAGACAAAUUGGGGAUAUAACUGCUGUUAGUUCAGGGGAAGCUGAAAGAGGAUUUGCACUGCAAACAGUAUUUUUGAUGCAAACAUACAUUCUCCCCUGUAAGUUACCUAAGGACGUGGUCCACAGGAGAUGGGCUUGGAGCCCUGAUGGCUGAUGCGGUGGUCACCGAGUGGACAGAGGUGGAGCAGGUGGAGGUGGGUGUGUCUGCACUUGAGGAGGGGUGAGCAAAGGCUGGGGUGGGAGAGCAGGGAGCAGGCAGUACCCAGUGGGUGUUGAGGGGUCAGGAGGAGUGCAGGCACCCAGGUCCAUGUCAUGUGGGUGUGUACCUGGCCAUUAUGAUUCAAAGCAUGUCCAGCUGUGCUCCCGCUGGCACCAGGACUUACGACUGCCCAUUCCAUGGGAAAGUCAUUGGAAAAGUCCAGUGCCGUUCCCUGUGUCAAAAUGUGACCCAGACAGGGUCAUCAUGUAGCUAGCAAUGGCCACAUCAAAGAUACUAUGAACAAUUUUAAACAACACCACCAACAAAAUCAUUUAUAAUAGCAUCCGAGACAAGAAAUACUUAAGAAUAAACAAAUGUGCAACACACACACACUGACAAAUAUAGUGCAUUCAUGAGAGAAAUUUAACAAAGAACUAAAUAGAUGGAAGGAUAUACAAUGUUCAUGGAUCAUAAGACUCAACACUGUUGAUUUCAAUUCUACCCAACUGGUCUGUAGAUUCAAUGUAAUCCCCAAAGAUGUUUUGUAGAAAUGGCAAACUGAUUUUAAAAUUUAUGUAUAAAUGCAAAAAAUUGAAAAUAAGAAAAAUAAUUUUGGAAACAAAAAAUAAAGUUGGAAGACUUAUCCU
ensembl:lncRNA novel transcript